ensembl:lncRNA LINC01777 long intergenic non-protein coding RNA 1777
ACCAGCGCAAUGUACUUAGGAGGUCAUGCGCCGGUUAAACUCUGCCAUUAUGCCUCUUACUGGGCAUGCUUGAGCCCACGGGCCCAACUCCUGAGAUCCCAUUCGGAAGCUGCUGAUCACCAGUUUCAAGUGUUUCUGUUUAUUGGGAGACUGCCUUCCUCUGGCACUGGCAGUGACCAAUUAUUAUUUUAGAGAGACUGUUAACGGCCUGACCAUCACCUGAUGAAUAUCAGGAAUGUGGCCUGACAUUCCUGGUACACGGAGCGCCUUCUUUUCGUUUAGAGCAUUGGUGUCUCCACAUUAGAAGCAUCCUAUGUAGCUGUUCUGCUUGCAGCUGCCCAAGUCUGCCUGGGCCUCCUGCAUGAGGUCAUGAGUCUUAAUAAAGCCACUGACCCACACAUUUGGAAUCGUACUGACUUUUCACAACUAACAGCCAACACAUUGCCAAGAAGCAAUUCAAUUGUUGAGGAUAUCACAUCAUGCCAGGGAAAGAGAGAUGGAAUUCAGAAAGCCUGGGAUAUUGCAGUGCCUUCUUCCCACGAUUUUAAAAGGAAAUGGGAGAACUGUGCAGUCACACUGACAUCCCGCAUCCACGCGGAAUCUGCUCAGCCACGGUGGAGCAUCCAUUGGUGCACCGAGGGGGAUGGCAGGGGCCCCAACACACAACACGAUUUAUAUCAAAGCAA